rnacentral:rRNA from 1 species
UACAGAGGGUGCGAGCGUUGUCCGGAAUCACUGGGCGUAAAGGGCGCGUAGGUGGCGCGACAAGUCAGUGGUGAAAGUUCGACGCUCAACGUCGAAUCGGCCACUGAUACUGUUGGGCUUGAGCACUGUAGAGGCUAAUGGAAUUCCGGGUGUAGCGGUGGAAUGCGUAGAGAUCCGGAAGAACACCGGUGGCGAAGGUGGUUAGCUGGGCAGUUGCUGACACUGAGGCGCGACAGCGUGGGGAGCGAACAGG